CUCAGGUGUGACUUUCUUGGAUCUUCCUCACUUGCCUCAGUAGCUGAUAUUAAACGUCCUGGGACUGCUUGAGCAUCUUUGUCUUUCCGGCUCUCACUGCAGCGCAUUACUCACGGGAGCGUCACCUUCUAUAACGUAACACCCGCCCCUCCUCUGCUCUUCUAUCAGACUCCCUUCCUCCUCCGCCAGCCCCGGCACCACAGUGAAAUGGGAUGGCUGCGGUUUAUGGUUCACAUUUCAACCUGGAUGGUGGGAGUUUCCAUGUUAUGGUCAUAGCUGCAAAUCUCUGCCACUCUCAGUGCUGACUGCUAACUGUUCAGGUGCACAUGCAGAGAAGGAAGUCUCUGCCACUCUCAGUGCUGACCGCUACCUGUUCAGCACCUCUGCAUGGCAAAGGAAGAAAGGAAGGAAGGAAAGAAGACAGGAAGGAAAGAAGGAAGGUGGAGAAGAUUUUAGAAGCUAGGUCUGCCGAGAGCAGCUGGACUGAGCGAUCGACAGAGGACCUCAUGCCACAUGUGCUGAUCACAGUAGAACCUGUGAAUUCGAUUUUAUUAAGAAUGUUGAUGGACAUGACCAAUACAUUAGAAAUAUACAAAUAUCUCACCACAGCAGCGCUUUCUGUGAUUUUCACUCUAAGACUACAACAGUGUGAAAGACAGUGCACAAGAGUCAUCUAGCAUUGUGCUGCCUCUUCCAGAACACAAAGAUAACAAGGAAGCAGCAGGGAACAGAGGAGCCUCCAUCUGCAAGGAUGAAUGUGAUAAUGGUGGGGUGGCUCCUACCUGCUUUACGUCCUCAUAACGGUUCAGAUGGAUCGCAUCUCUGGAUUUCUGCAUCUUGUAGCCAGCCACGAGGCAUGGCCACACACUUUUGGGUAGCUGAAGCUAAAGCACUUAUUUAGGUGGUUGACUAAUUGUGCCUUUAUGUUGCCUUCUGGAUAGAAGGAGGAAGAAGAGGAGGAGGAAGGAACCUUUAUGCCCAUUGUUUUUUACUAGGCUGCC
rnacentral:lncRNA from 1 species